CUUCCAACAACAUCUCAUUAGGGCAUCUGGUUCGUGCUCGACGGCAGCUGCACCUAAAAAACGAGUGGGCAAUAUGGAGCGGCUGGUCUGUGUGCUCACGCAGCUGUGGGGGCGGAGCCUCUGUGCGAACACGCACCUGUAUCACCAGGAACCCGGUUGGUGUACCAUGUGUAGGAGAUCCUCGACAGUAUAAGAUCUGCAACACAAAGGAAUGUCCCCCCGGCUCUGAGGACUUCAGACAGGUGCAGUGUGCUGCCUUCAAUGACAGGCCAUUGG